rnacentral:lncRNA from 7 species
UUCUUAUUUUUGUUCCACUACACAUAUUUUUUCCUCUAGUGCUGAUCCUAUGGGGACUUGAAACUUCCAUGGCUUUACAUCAUUACAGAAAAACUGUAAUGGAAACACAGCUACCUGUGUGACUCUAAGACUUUUUGAAUGUUUGUCAAGUUUCACUGCAGCUGGAUGAAGGAGGUCAGUUUCACAUGUAAAUGUACUGCUGCUUUAGACUUCAUGCAGUCUUGUGCAGAGCAAAGACCCACAACCCAGGAGUGGGGCCGCAAGGAAGGUGAGACAACUACUACAGGUGUUUUUGAAAGAGGUGCCAGAACAAAUGACACAGAUCCAUCAGAGAGCAGGGUUCUCAAUUCAGCUGCCUCUAAGACCAUGAAUUUCUGCUCUGCUGUUUGCUGGGAGUGCUGAGCACGUUGUCCAAGCAUCUGGACACCACCCUGUAAGCUUGUCCAGCUGCUAACGAGAAUGUUUUAUAAAAAGCAAGAGCUGUACCUGAUCUCAAGCAAAAUACAAAAAAUAACAACUCCUUCCACUUGUACAAAAUGUUCAGUGCUGUGAGUGGCCAAUUGCAUGGCACAGAAAAGACUAACAACAGAAAAUUCUCUUAUCUAUGUGGCUGCUCAGAACCUCCACUGCUUGGACCCAAUUAUCACCACAUGCUUUUUAUUUUAUUUUUUUCUGAUUAUAACUUCGAAGGUUUGUCCUGACACUGUACAAGAUGAAUAACUUCAGAAUUCAGAACUUCAGGCAUCUCAGGUUGCAUAUAGGUUACUGCGUGCACAGUCAUGUUCCCAAACAUUCAUUUCUGCUCUCCAGGCCCUGCCUGCUCUGCGAGGCUGACAUAAUCGCUUGGUGGGGUGGGCUGAAAGUGAUCCGGAUAAGAAAUAAUCCAUCAUAAGAAAAGGUUUAUUUUUCAGCCAGAUCAGCCUCUCUCAUGCCAGCACACAGCAGGGAACAGAGCACUGUGAUAGCAACAAGCAGUCAGGGAUGGCAGAUGUGCUGCUGCCCCAGAAUUACCUGUGACUUUUCUCCCUCCACUUUUAAGAUCUAACAGGAGUUGUUUUAUAGGAAUAGGUGUUGAAGAGUGACUGUCAAGCACUCCAUGAGAAGCAGUCAACUGAGUCAUCUAGCAGCAGAGAGGACUAUAAAGAAAGGCUUUAUACAAAAGUACAAUUACCCAAACAUCCAUCCAGCAGAGAAGGCCUUGUGGCCCAUUCUUGUUAAUUUACUGCUGCCAAAUUGUUCUGCCAUCUGAAUCCCCAUCUGAAUGAACACUGGGUGCACUGCAGUGUGUGUUUUGACUGAUGUCACUCAACAGCUCUCCCACACACAUACUGUCACAGGAGAGAGAAAAAGUGUUUUGUGUUUCUCACAAAUUCUGCAAUUCUAAUCCAGGGGAGAGCACACCAACAGUUCAUUAUAUGAACAUAUAAUCUCUUUUCCAUCCCACUCCCUCUGUUCUGAGCCAGGAUCAGUAUUUGGAGGCCUGAGAACAUGUAAGAGGAAGGUGGAAUAUGAAUCACUGUCAUUCAAAACUGGCAGAAAAAGUGAGAGGUGGUGGAAGAUAAAGGAAUCUGAGAAGCAAAUCACCUGAAAAACAAGCAAGCAAAGAAACAAACAAUGCUUUCUUCCGUGAGCAUCACCAUACCUCUGGCUUUUUGUCCCUUCAUCCACACUGUCUCCACAAUAAAAAGGCUUUGAC